UACGGGGGGGGCAAGCGUUGUUCGGAAUUACUGGGCGUAAAGGGCUCGUAGGCGGCCAACUAAGUCGGGUGUGAAAGCCCCGGGCUCAACCUGGGAAUUGCAUUCGAGACUGAAUAGCUAGGGUGCGGUAGAGGGAAGCGGAAUUUCCGGUGUAGCGGUGAAAUGCGUAGAUAUCAGGAGGAACACCGGUGGCGAAGGCGGAUCUCUGGGCCAUUACUGACGCUGAGGAGCGAAAGCGUGGGGAGCGAACAGG
rnacentral:rRNA from 1 species